rnacentral:lncRNA from 1 species
GUCAUGGUUGCAUAAAUCCUCUACCCUCCCGUGUGUUGCUUCUAUGGUUUUCAACUGAAAGUACCCAUGAUGCACGGUGCUACACCUACCACUGUGUCUGCAGCAACAACACCUGCCACCAGCGUUCCGUUCGCUGCACCAACUACAGGCAAUCAGCUGAAAUUCUGAACAGCAGAGUUAUGGAGUAUCAGAAUCUUUCCAUGGAAACCUCCAUAUGGCCUUUCUAUAUAUAUUCUCGUAUGUCUUAUUCUACCAACACAACAAUAAGCGUGUUGCAGUCAAUGUAUUAAGCAAAGCAAACCUGCCAGCCAGCAAAUUCAAAUAAAAAAUAAAGCAUUAAAAAUCAAUGGAGAUGUUAAAACAACACAAAUAGAAAACUAGUAACUACCAACCAUCCAUCCUAUUUGAAUUAUCAAGCAGAACAUGACCAUAAAAUUUGGUAACUUGUUACAUUAC